rnacentral:ncRNA from 1 species
AAAAACAAUUUGAACAGGAAAGUAGUUCUAACAAGACUGUACAGAAAACCUGCGUUUGCUGAGAGCAGGUAGUUAAAUUGGGAUGAAAAUGGCCUGCGAUUGGUAUCGUCGAACCGGCAGCUACUGUCAGUAAGGUGAUAAUGACUUGGCGCCCAUUACCGCGCACACCGCUACUUAGGAAUUCUAGACCCUUUCUAGGUGUCGGUUGAUGAGGAACUGAAUGUAAAUUCAGUUCGAACUAGAAUGGUAACGCGAUAAGCUCGCUUCUAAU